rnacentral:rRNA from 1 species
GACGAACGCUGGCGGCGCGCUUAACACAUGCAAGUCGAGUGAUAACCAUGGCUUCGGCCAUGGGGAGAGCGGCGAACGGGUGAGUAACACGUGAGUGAUCUGCCCUCGGCACCGGGAUAGCCCGGGGAAACCCGGAUUAAUACCGGAUGGCCUCUCGAGCCCACGGGCUCGUGAGAAAAGAUGGCUUUGGCUUUCGGCCGAGGAGGAGCUUGCGGCGGAUUAGCUUGUUGGCGGGGUAACGGCCCACCAAGGCGACGAUCCGUGGCUGGUCUGGGAGGACGAUCAGCCACACUGGGACUGAGACACGGCCCAGACGCCUGCGGGAGGCAGCAGUGGGGAAUCUUGCGCAAUGGGCGAAAGCCUGACGAAGCGACGCCGCGUGAGGGAAGAAGGCCUUCGGGUUGUAAACCUCUUUCAGGAGGGACGAAGCUACUCGGGUUAAUAGCCCAGAGGGUGACGGUACCUCCAGAAGAAGCCCCGGCUAACUACGUGCCAGCCGCCGCAGUAAGAC